AGCAGCCGCGGUAAUUCCAGCUCCAAUAGCGUAUAUUAAAGUUGCUGCAGUUAAAAAGCUCGUAGUUGAAUUUCGGGACUAAUAUGUCGGUCGUGCCUCGGUACGUACUGGUUUAUUGGUUUCUCCUUUCUGAAGAACCAUGAUGUCAUUUAUUUGGUGUCGUGGGGAAUCAGGGCUGUUACUUUGAAAAAAUUAGAGUGUUUAAAGCAGGCUCACGCUUGAAUACAUUAGCAUGGAAUAAUGAAAUAGGACGUUUGAUUCUAUUUUGUUGGUUUCUAGGAUCGACGUAAUGAUUAAUAGGGAUAGUUGGGGGCAUUAGUAUUCAAUUGUCAGAGGUGAAAUUCUUGGAUUUAUUGAAGACUAACUACUGCGAAAGCAUUUGCCAAGGAUGUUUUCAUUAAUCAAGAACGAAAGUUAGGGGAUCGAAGACGAUCAGAUACCGUCGUAGUCUUAACCAUAAACUAUGCCGACUAGGGAUCGGAUGAUGUAAUUUUUAAUGACUCAUUCGGCGCCUUACGGG
rnacentral:rRNA from 1 species